UUGCUUUUUCAUACAAACCACAGGGUACAGGAUCUUGAGUCGAACCCAACCCUUUCGCUUUAAGGUGAUUUGUGGCUGUUUCUUGGGUCUGAGCAAAGAAUGGGGCUUGAACUUCUCCUUGCCCACAAGCAAGUGGCUGGUUUUUACUGGAGACAGAAGCAUGGCAGAUCUGCAAGAUCUUCCUCCAUUUCUCCAAAACCUUGGGUGCACCAAGCCCGUGUGUGGGACUGUGUGAUGCUGUCGCAGCCUCCUGGGAAAGUCACUAUUUUUCCACGACCUGAAGCACUUUUCAUCUCUCUGCUUGCUGGGCUGAUCAAAAAUUCUCCUUAAAGUCUGGUAUAACACCUGUGCCUGGGAUGUAAUGAAAUACAACCCUCAAGCUCACCCAGGAUGAGAUAUGCAAAAUAAUUACUCUUGGAUGACAAAGAGAAACCCCGAGGGCUGCGUUCACAAAAGGAUGCCUUGUUUCUCUGGAAGGUUGGAUCUCUGCCUGCCCUGCUCACCAGGAGCCAUGCUGUUAUCCUGGGCUGGGAAUUGUGGUGCUGAGUGCAUGGCCUGAAACUUUUGACAGCUGCUUGGUCAGAUUUGGUGGCUAAAUAAAUGGUUUGUCUAAUUAAUUAUGAGGAUCUUG
rnacentral:lncRNA from 1 species